rnacentral:rRNA from 1 species
AUGAGUGGAGAAAGGAGUUGGGAUGAGGAGCUGGUUAGGCAUUUAUUUUACCCUUAUGAUGCGGAUGAGAUUUUGAGGUUGUGGAUCCAAUCAAAUGGGGAGGCAGAUUUUGUUGCUUGGCAUUAUGAAAAGUCAGGUUUGUUCUCAGUUAGGAGUGCGUACAAGUUAGCGCUCACCCUUAAGGAUAAAAAAGAGGAUGAGGGGCAAUCCAGUGAGGCGGUAGGGUCGGAGAGGAAAAUUUGGAAUAUUAUUUGGAAGACAAACAUUCCUCAGAAGAUUCGUAUUUUUGCAUGGAGGGUUGCUUCCAAUAGCUUGGCCGUACAGGUUAAUAGAGUGGCGCAUCAUCAAGCCUCUGUUAGUACGUGUUCUAUUUGUGGCAUGGAGGAUGAAAAUACCUUCCAUGCGCUUGUCUUGUGCCCGAAGGCGCGUGCGCUUCGCAUGGCCAUGAGGAACAUUUGGGCUCUACCUGAUGAGGAGGUUCUCAGAUAUACGGGGCAGGAUUGGUUUAUUGUUCUCCUGAGUCAAUUAAACCCCGUAAUGCGAGACCAAAUUAUAUUCUUAUUCUGGAGGAUCUGGCAUUUGAGAAAUGAUUUGAUCUUUGGUAAAGGAAAGGAAUCA